GACGAACGCUGGCGGCGUGCUUAACACAUGCAAGUCGAACGGAAAGGCCCUGCUUUUGUGGGGUGCUCGAGUGGCGAACGGGUGAGUAACACGUGAGUAACCUGCCCUUGACUUUGGGAUAACUUCAGGAAACUGGGGCUAAUACCGGAUAGGAGCUCCUGCUGCAUGGUGGGGGUUGGAAAGUUUCGGCGGUUGGGGAUGGACUCGCGGCUUAUCAGCUUGUUGGUGGGGUAGUGGCUUACCAAGGCUUUGACGGGUAGCCGGCCUGAGAGGGUGACCGGCAACAUUGGACUUGGGAAACGGCCAGGAUCCCACCGGGGGGAAGCGGGGGGAAUAUUGCACAAUGGGCGGAAGCCUGAUGCAGCAACGCCGCGUGCGGGAUGACGGCCUUCGGGUUGUAAACCGCUUUCGCCUGUGACGAAGCGUGAGUGACGGUAAUGGGUAAAGAAGCACCGGCUAACUACGUG
rnacentral:rRNA from 1 species